rnacentral:rRNA from 1 species
ACACGUAGGGGGCGAGCGUUGUCCGGAUUUAUUGGGCGUAAAGAGCUCGUAGGCGGCUCAGUUAGUCGGGUGUGAAACCUCCAGGCUCAACCUGGAGACGCCACCCGAUACUGCUGUGGCUAGAGUCCGGUAGGGGAGCGUGGAAUUCCUGGUGUAGCGGUGAAAUGCGCAGAUAUCAGGAGGAACACCAGCGGCGAAGGCGGCGCUCUGGGCCGGAACUGACGCUGAGGAGCGAAAGCGUGGGGAGCGAACAG